AAACCGUUCAGGGGUAAACCUAAGAAACCCAAAAGAUCGAACGGGGAGAUUCAUCGUCAGCGGCGCUGGCUUCGCGUCGGUCGGCGAUGUCCCGCGGUGCCGUUUCUCGGCUCUCGCGCGGGCACGCUACCGUGCGCCGAUGUCCGGCGUUCGUCGUCGUGCACUUCUCCCCUAGUAGGACGUCGCGACCCGCUGGGUGUCGGUCUACGGCCCGGGUGCGGUGACUGUCGCGUCGCCGGUAAAACGGCACACGGCAAACUCCCGGUCGCCCGGCCGGCUGCCCGGCGGUACACGCUACGGUAUCAGGCCGCGCCACGUGCGCGUCGAGCCCGUCGCAAGCGAGCGCCACGGUACCCGGAGGUACGGACCUAGUGCCGUCCCCGGUCCUGGCCCGCUGUUAGCUGUACGGUGCUACCUUCGACAGGCCUUCUCCCGCGUGUGCGGCAACGCGCACCGGGAUACCGGUCGGCGACGCUACUGCUUUGGGUACUCUUAGGA
rnacentral:rRNA from 1 species